UACGUAGGGGGCAAGCGUUGUCCGGAAUCAUUGGGCGUAAAGAGCGUGUAGGCGGCCCGAUAAGUCCGCUGUGAAAGUCCAGGGCUCAACCCUGGAAUGCCGGUGGAUACUGUCGAGCUCGAGUCCGGAAGAGGCGAGUGGAAUUCCUGGUGUAGCGGUGAAAUGCGCAGAUAUCGGGAGGAACACCUAUGGCGAAGGCAGCUCGCUGGGACGUUACUGACGCUGAGACGCGAAAGCGUGGGGAGCAAACAGG
rnacentral:rRNA from 1 species